UACGUAGGGUGCAAGCGUUGUCCGGAAUUAUUGGGCGUAAAGAGCUCGUAGGCGGUCUGUCGCGUCGGCUGUGAAAACCUAGGGCUCAACCUGGGCCUGCAGCCGAUACGGGCAGACUAGAAUUCGGUAGGGGAGACUGGAAUUCCUGGUGUAGCGGUGAAAUGCGCAGAUAUCAGGAGGAACACCGGUGGCGAAGGCGGGUCUCUGGGCCGAUAUUGACGCCGAGGAGCGAAAGCGUGGGGAGCGAACAGGA
rnacentral:rRNA from 1 species